CAUUGGAUAACCGUGGGAAAUCUAGAGCUAAUACGCGCUGUUCAUCGGUUUGUCUUCGGACGAGUCAAAGCAUUUAUUAGACUAAACCAUUUACUGUGCUCGCAUAGUAAGGGGAAUCUAGAUAACUUUGCUGAUCGUAUGGCCUAGUGCCGGCGACGUUUCAAUUGAGUUUCUUAACCAGAUCAGGGUUCGAUUCGACGAAAAGGGAGCCUGAGAGGCUACCACAUCCAAGGAAGGCUGGCUACCACAUCCAAGGAAGGCAGGCGGGCAGAUUACCCAAUCUAGACUGUCGUAGUUCCCGAGAUAAAAUCUAGGUGUGACCCAAUGAGUUACCAGUUUGGGCUCAACGUAACUUAAGAAUUCGAUGAGAAACAACUGGAGGGCAAGUCCUGGUGCCAGCAGCCGCGGUAAUUCCAGCUCCAGUAAUUUGCUUUAAAGUUGUUGCGUUUAAAGCGUUCGUAGUUGGAUCACGCAGCAGUGCCUAGUAAUCUACUAUUCGACGUAUCACUGAAAACCCUUUCACACCUCAAGUUGCACGUGAGAUGAAUUGUUGGCCUUUAUUUAGUCGGAUUCUCGUCUUGCGGAGUGUGCCUUGAAUAAAACAGAGUGCUUAAAGCGGGUUGUUAUAGCAUGGAACGAACAAUCGUGUAUAUGUGUGUAUCCUAGAUUGGUGACGAGCCUUAGGCUUGUUGUUGAUCUGGAUGAUCAGAUACCGUCGUAGUUAUGACUGUGGUUCCAUAUACGGUGAUGAUUAAAAGAAGGCGGUUGGGGCACCGGUAUUUGGCCCCGGGGUGGAGCCGUCGUUUUAAUGAGCCAAGAACGAAAGUGGGAGGUUCGAAGACGAUCAGCGAUACCGUCCUAGUUCAGCGUGACUUACUGGGAUCAGUUUAGAGAUGUUACAAGCUCUAGAUUGGUCCCCCUGGGAAACCUCCAGUCAUUGGGUUCCGGGGGGAGUAUAGUUGUCUUACUUGAACUUAAAGGAAUUGGUGCAUAGGCACCACCAGGAGGUGAACCUGCGUGUUUAAUUUGACUCCACACGGGGAAGAUCACACUUUCCCCACAUGGAAAGGAGUAACAGAGUGUUAGGUCUUUUUUGUUUCUGCGAGUUGGGGUGCAUACCCGUUGGUAGGUGGUGGGAAGAUUAGUCUGGUUCAUUCCGAUAACGAACGAGACUAUAAUCUCCAUUUAAGAGAUAGAAGCAGGCCUAUUAUAUUGUUAACCGGCCCCGUGCGGUUGGGGUAAAACUUCGGUGGUGUGGUGUGCUUUGUUCCCUUCUAUUGAGCAGCAAUCAGAGCCUUAUGGAGAGAUCACAGGUAUGAGGAGGCGUGAGGACAGGUGUGUGAUGCCCUUAGAGGUAUGCCCUUGCAUGUUCACCACAAUGGGCGGGUUACAAUGAUCACAACAACAAGUAUGAGGGUCGGGAAACCUGGGGAACCCCCCAUGUGAUUGGGAAUGGGGGUUGAAGAUGUCCCCCAUGUCAGAAAUUUGAAUCCCAGCGCGUGCAAAAGCUAAAUUUCACAGAGUAAGUCCCUGCCCUUACACACACCGCCGCUACUACCGAUUGGAUGGAAUAAUGUCGCCCUCGUAUGGGCCCCGCCAGAUUCCGGUCGGGCCCUGGUCUUGCCCG
rnacentral:rRNA from 1 species